rnacentral:rRNA from 1 species
UACAGAGGGCCCAAGCGUUGUUCGGAUUCACUGGGCGUAAAGGGUGCGUAGGCGGUUGGGUAAGUCUGGCGUGAAAUCUCCGAGCCUAACUCGGAAACUGCGUCGGAUACUAUUCAACUCGAGGAAUGGAGGGGAGACUGGAAUUCUCGGUGUAGCAGUGAAAUGCGUAGAUAUCGAGAGGAACACCAGUGGCGAAGGCGAGUCUCUGGACAUUUCCUGGCGCUGAGGCACGAAAGCCAGGGGAGCAAACGGG